rnacentral:rRNA from 1 species
GACGAACUGUCCUAACGUUGUUCGGAAUCACUGGGCUUAAAGGGCGCGUAGGCGGUCCGGUAAGUCCGCUGUGAAAGUCGGGGGCUCAACCCUCGAAUGCCGGUGGAUACUGUCGGGCUAGAGUGCGGAAGAGGCGAGUGGAAUUCCUGGUGUAGCGGUGAAAUGCGCAGAUAUCAGGAGGAACACCAAUUGCGAAGGCAGCUCGCUGGGACGUUACUGACGCUGAGACGCGAAAGCGUGGGGAGCAAACAGG